GCGGGUAUAACUCAACGGUAGAGCUGAAGCUUUCCAAGCUUAUGACAAGGGUUCGACUCCCUUUACCCGCUCCA
rnacentral:tRNA from 1 species